rnacentral:rRNA from 1 species
AGCAGCCGCGGUAAUUCCAGCUCCAAUAGCGUAUAUUAAAGUUGUUGCAGUUAAAAAAGCUCGUAGUUGAAUUUCGGGGUUAGUAGGCUGGUCGUGCCACUGGUAUGUACUGGUCUCACUGAUUCCUCCUUCCUGAUGGGCUGUAAUGCCAUUAAUUUGGUGUUGCAGGGAAUCUGGACUGUUACUUUGAAAAAAUUAGAGUGUUUAAAGCAGGCUAACGCUUGAAUACAUUAGCAUGGAAUAAUGAAAUAGGACGAUCGAACCUAUUUUGUUGGUUUCUAGGAUUGACGUAAUGAUUAAUAGGGAUAGUUGGGGGCAUUAGUAUUCAAUUGUCAGAGGUGAAAUUCUUGGAUUUAUUGAAGACUAACUACUGCGAAAGCAUUUGCCAAGGAUGUUUUCAUUAAUCAAGAACGAAAGUUAGGGGAGUCGAAGACGAUCAGAUACCGUCGUAGUCUUAACCAUAAACUAUGCCGACUAGGGAUCGGAUGAUGUUUAAUUUUUUAAUUGUACUCUAUUCGGU